UACAGAGGUCCCAAGCGUUGUUCGGAUUCACUGGGCGUAAAGGGUGCGUAGGUGGCCGGGUAAGUUCGAUGUGAAAGCUCUGAGCUCAACUCAGAAAUGGCAUUGAAUACUAUCCGGCUUGAGGGUUGGAGGGGGGACUGGAAUUCUCGGUGUAGCAGUGAAAUGCGUAGAUAUCGAGAGGAACACCAGUGGCGAAGGCGGGUCUCUGGACAGUUCCUGACACUGAGGCACGAAGGCCAGGGGAGCAAACGGG
rnacentral:rRNA from 1 species